rnacentral:piRNA from 1 species
UAGACUCUCUUGGAGAUUAGAAACAGUAGC